CCCACCUUCAUCCCAGAGAUGGAUAUAGGUGAUAUAGGCAUCACUGAUAUAGGUGUAGCGUACCGGGGAACAAUUGCUGUAACUGUGACUAGCAAAACGUGCCAGAGAUGGUCAUCUCAGACGCCACAUAAACACCACCAAAUCCCAGAAAACUGCCCUUACAAAGGUCUGGAUGCUAACUACUGUCGUAACCCUGAUAAUAAGUUGUUCCCCUGAUGCUACACAACUGACCCUGACACUGAUUGGAAGUUUUGCAACGUGCCACUGUGUGGGGAAGCACCUACUCCAGUGACCCCCGCAGAUGAGGAAGAUUGCUAUGAGGGGAACGGUUCCAGUUAUCGGAGUAUAACAUCAGAGACCAUCAGUGCUCCACGGUUCCUCACAGACAUAGCACAACUUCAGUGGUCUAUCC